GACUCGAUGGCGGGGGAUCCGCGCCUGCUCCUGGUGUUGUUGUCUUCUGAAAUCGUCAGCAGGAGGUGCUGGUUCGACUCCGGCUCGAGUCA